UGUGGAUUAGUUUGGACCACAAAAAGGACCUCUCUCUCCUUCUCCUUCCCCGUGUCUUCUCUGUCUCUCUCCCUCACGAUCUCUCACACACACACACCCAAAACGUACGGCACACACCCAAAUCCUCCAAAAACUCGACGGAUCGAGGCAACCAAGGGAAUUCUAAGCUUGUAGUGAGCUUAGUGAAGUCCUAAGGAGGCUCGGAGUGCUUCGUUUGAAGGAUUUGGACGUCGGGAUCACGUGGUUCCAUUUUGGCCGAAAUUCUUGGGAAUUUUCCGGCGCCGAUCGUCAUGACGCCUUGGCGUAUUGUGCUAGGGAGUUGUAGGGCGAACUCCAGG